CUUUUAUAAAAAUAAAAAAAGUUAUAAGAAUGAAAGCAGAGGCCUCUUGGCCUCACUAGACUAGUUCUCAAGCCUUCUUAAGUCUAAUUUGCCAAGCCUAAUUUGCCACUUCACCCGAAAAGGAUGUUUAAAGAGGCCACUGAUUUAAAAGCUCUGUGUCAACAUGCAUGCCCAGCUUAUUCAAGUUGGAAGGGGUCAGGGUGGACCUCUAGUCCAGUGGCUGCUAGGCCUGGCUGAAUUUUUUACAUGCAGUUCCCUAAUCUCCACCCCGAAGACCCACUGACUUUGAGUCUCGAUCUCAGCUCACUGCAGCCUCAACCUCCCAGGCUCAAGUGAGCCUCCCACUACAGCCCCUCUGAGUCGCUGGGAAUACAGGCACACACCACCAUGCCCAGCUAAUUUUUAUUUUUUUAAUGUAGAGAGACAAGGUCUCACUAUGUUGCCCAGGCUGGUUUUGAACUCCUGGGCUUAAACAGUCCUCCCACUUCAGCCUCCCAAAGAGCUGGGAUUACAGGCAUAAGCCAGCCAGCCAGAAUGUGAAUUUUUAAUAAGUCCUCAGGUGAUUCUGAGGACUAGCAAGGUUUGGGAACCACUGCGCUAGUCCUUCCUGCCUAAAACAUCACUCCUAAUUAGUGGUAAUGGAACAUCCAAGUCACACCAGCAUCUGGGAGUUGACAGUCCUAGGCCCCAGCCACUUCCUCUGCUAAAGAGUUCCACAUACACUCUCCAAUUAGACCUAGUUUUUCCCUUACAAUCAACAAAAACAGUCUACUUCCUUCCUCAUAAGUCAGCCCUUCAAAGAUAUGAGGAAGCCAGCUACCUGAUUACCCUUGUUUUUUCCUCCUCCAAGAUAAACAUGUCCAAUUGUUUCCCACCAUUUCCAGGUGUCUCCCGCAUCACUGUCACUUUCACCUGUACCCUAGAGUCUGCUGAUGUUUCUCAUCAAAUAUGGUGGUCAUGGUGGAACCUAAGACUCUAAGUCAGCCAGCACUGGACUGAAGAAAACAGGGAGAAGUCCUUCAUGCAUGUGUUUUCAUAAAUUUGGUCAAAGAUAUCUGUUCUAAGCAGUGCUAACCUCAUAUUAUCCAAUUAUUUAUUCAAUCAAUGUUUGUUAAAAACCUGCAACACAAAAGGAACUAAUGUGGAUCCAGAAACCAUGAAUAUAAGGAAUGGCUGGUCCCUGACUCAAGGAGUUUGCAUAGCAAUUUGAUAACUUCAGUAAUUCCUAGGUAAGGUGAAAUGUGGUUGUUUCAAAAGGAGGGGAGAGCAAAGCCAGCUGAUAGUCUUAUAGAUGGCCCCACAAAGCUGGUGGCAUUAGGGUUGGGCUGGAAAUGACGAGCAACUGCCUCAAAAGUGAAGAUCUGAGGUGGAGCAGGGUCUCAGCAGAGAGUGAGCAACCAGAAAGAAACAUGGGCUGUGAUCUGGAAAUGUUCACUGGGUCACAGCCCAGAGCACUUGGAGGGAAGCAGUAGAGACAUUCUUGGCCUGUAUUAACUCUUUUUCAUUGGAAUUGCUGUCAAAUCAGGUAUGCUUCAUUCUAUAUUAUUGACUUUUUGGAGCUUAAAUACAAUUUGUUGAUACUUAAAUGUAUUCCUAUUACAUUUUAUUGGGCUGGUUUUUGUCCAACAUUCAUAUACUAAGAAGUAACAGAUUGGAAGGGGUUUAAGAAGUCAGGGAAACCUACUCAAAAAAGAAAGUGGAU
rnacentral:lncRNA from 1 species